GACGAACGCUGGCGGCGUGCUUAACACAUGCAAGUCGAACGGAAAGGCCCUGCUUUUGUGGGUUUCUCGAGUGGCGAACGCGUGUGUAACACAUGAGUAACCUGCCCUUGACUUUCGGAUAACUUCAGGAAACUGGGGCUAAUACCGGAUAGGAUCUCCUGCUGCAUGGUGGGGGUUGGAAAGUUUCGGCGGUAGGGGCUGGUCUGGCUGCUUAUCGGCUUGAUGGUGUGGUAGGGGCUUACCAAGGCUUCGACGGGUAGCCGGCCUGGGAGGGUGACCGGCCACAAUGGGACUGAGAUACGGCGCAGACUCCUACGUGAGGCAGAAGGGGGGAACAUUGCACAAUGGGCGGAAGCCUGAUGCAGCAACGCCGCGUGCGGGAUGACGUCCUUCUGGGUGUAAACAGCUUUCGCCGGUGACGAAGCGUUAGUGACGGUACCGGGUAAAGAAGCACCGGCUAACUACGUG
rnacentral:rRNA from 1 species